AGCAGUAUUGUCACUAACAGGCACAGCUUCAAAUAUUGAUGAAGCUUUCAGACAACUACAAAUCUCUGGCAGAAGUUGACACUUUCAUCUGUCAGCUGUGACAAGACAUUCAGGAGUGAAGCAACAGCGUUAGAACAGAGUACAGGAAGUGGAAAGUGUUUCUCAGAAAUGAUUGGCCAUGCAGCCUGACCAUCUCAUGCAACCUGCAUUGUCUGACUUUUCAAGAACAACUAGAAUAUUGUGACACAAAUAUUUGAAAUGCAUUGAAGAGAGUACACACCUGUAGCAAUGGCUGUCAAAUUGGCUAGAUGUUUAGCAAUGUCAGAUCGGCCACACAGUGACAAAUGAGUGGGACACUAGUCCACUAUUGUGUAAUUGCCAAUUCGUUUGCGUUGCUCAGAGUGAGGUUGGAUACCAAGAGUCAAGGUGUAUUUGACCUUAUUACAUGCAACACUGCAUGGAGGUUAGAUCAGUGCCUAGUGAUGUAUAGAGGACGAGCCGAAGAUAGUUUACAGUUAAUCAGGAGCUCCAUGCGCUGCGUCCAGUAUUUAGCCAAAGUACAGUGUACGGUGUACUUCCAGCUUGGUGGGAGACAUCCAAGGGCACUUGCUUUGAUGCAGCUUUGGGACUGGACACCAAGGCCACAAAUUGUGUACACCUUACUCUAGAGUAAUAAUAUUAUUGUACAGUUCCCUCGUAGCGAAGAAAAAGAGAAAGAAGAACAAAUGGCAACUAACAUAAACAUAUAACGGAAUACACAUAUAUACACAACGAAAAAGAUAUUAGAAAAUAUUAGUAUACCUACAAACACCAUGAAACUCUCAUUCAAGUCCAGCUGCUACUUCAGGGGCAUAGCUGUCAUAUAACGAUUGUGCGGAACUACAAUGCUCAUAAGCUAUCAUGCCACUAGCACAGUAUGAUUUGCCAUAUCUAGAGACGACAGCAAAGACCGACCGCUACUGGCGAAAUGGCAAUCCGGGAUGUUGAUGGUUUCUUGCCUCGUUUCCAGACUUCCGCGCCAUUGUCUUGUCCGUUACCCGUCUAGAAUACAGAUUGGAACGAGUAUACUAACAGGAGCUCAGUUCACACAGAAUAUUUCCAAAGUACCUCUAGAUACUUAUCUAUCUAACGACUGCAUAGGUCGCGUUCAUGCAAUGGCCGUACACGAAGGGCAGAGCUGUGAAGGAGAUAUGCUUGCAACGCCAAACCCCCACCAGGUACGCGCUUGUAAUUGUCACAUUUACUUUGUUUCAUCUGCUUGUAUAGGACAAGACGAACAACAGAUUGGGAACAUCUCUUGCGGGGAGUGAUUUCCGAAUCCUAGAAAAUUUUCUAUCAGUUUAAGUAUAUGCAUGGAUACAACUUCGAUCUACUUACCACAGCGUUUGCUGCGGUUUAUAAUUUUCCUAUUCGAGCAUUGACCGGUUCUCUAUCUAAUGAAUAUUGUCCUACAUCACAAAGUGACAAUCUGGUCAAGUAUGGGUAUUAUGGGUAUAUUUGCAGUGCGACCACGCAAUGAUAAUUAUUCCAUCUUAUUAGGAACUCACUUCUGGUUGAUCGCAAGCACAGCGCAUGUUUGAACAUCAAACUUUAUAGAGUUCUCCUUCACAAAAUUGCGUGGAAGAUACAUCCAACAUACAUUGCAUCCCGGUAGCUAAUAGCGAGUGACAUCGUCCGCAUGCGCUAGCUUGCAUGCCUACAAACAUUCCAACAACUUUUGCAACUUUGCCUGGCUUUUUCAAUUUGACCAACUGAGGUCGUCCGAGACAACAUUGAUUUAAACAACAAGGUUAACGAAACACCUCUUUGUUGUAGUCUCACGCAGCAAGCCCUUGCCUCCUUUGACUUUCUCUCCCCGCCGUCAACAGAAGUCAAUAGGGGAGGGGCUGGCUUCGCGAGACUACCUUUGUUGCACAUCAUCACGGACUCGAACAGGCUUUGACAGCUGUCCACCCCAUUUGAUUCUUAAUGGCUGCUGCGUGUACUUCAAGUAGCUUAGUUUAGCACUGCCACAUGGAGACCUUGUAAUAUUUGCUCAUAAUGGGGCACUAGAUCAAAGGUGUACCGUCCGCUGCAAAAUAUUGUUUUUCAGUCUUGUUUAUCAUGAAUGAUAGGGUGCUCGUUUAUACUCAUGAGUUGAGAGAGGCAAUUACACACACACACACACACACACACACACACACACACACACACACACACACACACACACACACACACACACACACACACACACACACACACACACACACACACACACACACACACACAAUCAAUCAAUCAACUGCUUUUUAUCGCCAGUAAAUCAUUUCUGUCAGCAUCUGUAUGCUUUAUACCUUACAAUGUUGUGAUAAUUAGUAUACAUGUAAUUUAUUUAUUUUAUUGUUUUGACAUUAAUGUUUAUCUGCAGCGUUGAUAUACGGUGUACAUGCACUACUGUGAGAUCAUUUAACCUUUCAGCAAGCAGGGUAUAGCUGAUGUACAGUAGGUAUAGAUAUUCCACUUUCUGUUAACGAAACAAGAUAAUCUUUGUUUUUCUCUCAACUAACUUGGAUAAACAUAAUGGGAUGGCUGAUUGUGUCCACUUUGAAUGCUAAUUGUUGUUUCUAUACAUGCUCUUAUAUACAUGCACAGUUGUUCCGGACAAAGUUGUAUAUUUACACAGUUGUUGUCUGUAAACACAUGCAGGUGCUGUGGUCUAACAAGUAGUGUAUUGUUUUCUUGUACAGUGUUACUUUAAGAUCCUUGGCAAUGGGUCUAGAUAACAAACAUAUAUAGGAAUUCCUCCCCACAUAGAUGCCUGAUACAAUCACCGCGUUUACUAGACCUCUCAGCGGGUGUCGAUGCUACACGUACACGUACGCUUGCGUGGAUGGACUGAUAUAUAAAGCCGUAGCUCUCAGUACAGCGUUAGUCGUAGAAGUACUUCAGCAGUGCGCGUGUUCAAGAUACAAUGACGAUAUUUCUUGUCACUCUGAUUCUAUCUACAUGCUGUUCGGUCUGCGUACUCAACGCACAGCAGCAGCCGACUGUAGACAGGCUUCAAAGGAGAGAACUGAACGACAAGUCCAAACGUGUCUCCUCUUCCUCUUUGGUCGGUGGGAAAGGAGACAAGAAGAAACCAGUCAUUAACCCGGUUUUCCGUAAUGAUUCCAGUCAAGUCAGUUCCGACCGGCAAUUGCACGUUUCUGGUAUACGACUGGUUGUCAGCAAGACCAACAAACUGCAGACAGGACGUCUUCCAGUGCAGCGUCAGAGUGGAUGUUCUCCUAGAAUCUACUUGAUGACGCUGAAAUUUGGGAAGUGUUCGACACAAGUUGAAACGACAUUGUGUUAUGGAAGUUGUAUUGGCUCCUCGCGUGGUGGUACACGAAAAUUUACAUCCACUACCGACGUGAAGGAUGGUGACGGUGGCUGCGCUUGCUGCUCACCUCGCGGAGCAAUUUCGAACAAGCAUUAUCAAGUGCAUUGCACGGCCAAUGGACGCAGACGCAGGAAAUUGUUCGUUAUUCCUCAUGUCGGCGAAUGUCAAUGCGAACCUUGCGGUUAGGUUGUGGAGAAAGAGAGUCUAUAUCACCGAAGAAGUGGUCGUUAGCUGUUAACUAUAGGUGAGAUGUAGACUUUGCGUAUUGAACCAGGUACUGUAGGUCUGGCUUCUAGAAUCUAUACUGGUCUGAUUUUAUCGUCUAGAUGGUUGUUUGCUGAACUUGAGAGUUUGUGUACAGCAAUUAAUGAAUGCAACAAGUAGGUAAUGAUACUUUCAUCUCCAU